rnacentral:rRNA from 1 species
AAUGACGUCAUGCGCGGCAGGCCUAACACAUGCAAGUCGAGCGGAAACGACAACAUUGAAUCUUCGGAGGAUUUGUUGGGCGUCGAGCGGCGGACGGGUGAGUAAUGCCUAGGAAAUUGCCUUGAUGUGGGGGAUAACCAUUGGAAACGAUGGCUAAUACCGCAUAAUGCCUACGGGCCAAAGAGGGGGACCUUCGGGCCUCUCGCGUCAAGAUAUGCCUAGGUGGGAUUAGCUAGUUGGUGAGGUAAUGGCUCACCAAGGCGACGAUCCCUAGCUGGUCUGAGAGGAUGAUCAGCCACACUGGAACUGAGACACGGUCCAGACUCCUACGGGAGGCAGCAGUGGGGAAUAUUGCACAAUGGGCGAAAGCCUGAUGCAGCCAUGCCGCGUGUAUGAAGAAGGCCUUCGGGUUGUAAAGUACUUUCAGUUGUGAGGAAGGGUGUGUAGUUAAUAGCUGCACAUCUUGACGUUAGCAACAGAAGAAGCACCGGCUAACUCCGUGCCAGCAGCCGCGGUAAUACGGAGGGUGCGAGCGUUAAUCGGAAUUACUGGGCGUAAAGCGCAUGCAGGUGGUUCAUUAAGUCAGAUGUGAAAGCCCGGGGCUCAACCUCGGAACUGCAUUUGAAACUGGUGAACUAGAGUGCUGUAGAGGGGGGUAGAAUUUCAGGUGUAGCGGUGAAAUGCGUAGAGAUCUGAAGGAAUACCAGUGGCGAAGGCGGCCCCCUGGACAGACACUGACACUCAGAUGCGAAAGCGUGGGGAGCNANANGAAUAGAUACCCUGGUAGUCACGCCGUAACGAUGUCACUUGAGGGUGUGCCUGAGCCGUGCUUCGGAGCUACGCC